AGGUUUUGUGACAUAAUACAUAGAAAGAUCACCAAGGGUUCAGUGAAAACGAACAUCUGCUGUACGGACGACUGAAUAUAAAUUCACAUACAUAGCGACAUUGAACCUUGUACAACCAGGAUUGUUAACUAAUAACUUACUGAUAUCAGAGAUGUAUAAGGGAUUGUUUGGAGCCUUUCUAUUGGUGUGUUUAGUUAUCUACACACAGGCAUGCAGUGACCACUACCAUUCCAAGCAGUGCUACUGUCAUUGUGAAGAUAUCAUUUUAACCCCUUGCCUCAACGACUGUGCUGCUCACGGACCCACAGCCUCUCCUGCUCCGGGACACCACAGCCAUUCGUCUGUCUGCGAUACUCGCUGCCAUGACCACAUGUCUUCCUGCCUAACUCACUGCAACUGGGGAAUAGAACCAAGCACCAAGCCAAUAAUAGGCUAAGAACAGUCAUGCAGCCAGCAGCCACUAUCACAGAACGAAGUAUAUUAAUUUAUAGAAGAUAAAUACACAUUUCCUCUGAAGCCAACCGUGAAAGGAUAGUUAAACAAUACAUAUGAUCCUUUAUACGUCGGUUAAAAAAAAGAACUAUUUGUAUUCCGAUCAAUGUGAAAUGGAUCAAGAAAAGUUAGUGCCUAAAUCGUGUCAAGAAAAUCGUUCAUUCAAAACAAAUUUGGUCGUCCGAAUACUGACGCUGAAAU